AGCUCCAAUAGCGUAUAUUAAAGUUGUUGCGGUUAAAAAGCUCGUAGUUGGAUUUUGGAGCCCUUACAAUUGGACCAGCGAUUCGCUGCGCUCUGAUGGUUGGGUUCUUCUGUCUGGAGACCGCGGGUUUCCUCUUAAUUGAGGGGCUCGCGGGGUCUAGGACGUUUACUUUGAACAAAUUAGAGUGUUUAAAGCAGGCAAAUGCCUUGAAUACAUUAGCAUGGAAUAACAAAUAGGACUUGGGUUCUAUUUUGUUGGUUUUACGGACCCUGGUAAUGAUUAAUAGGGAUAGUUGGGGGCAUUAGUAUUUUAUUGUCAGAGGUGAAAUUCUUAGAUUUAUGAAAGACUAACUUCUGCGAAAGCAUUUGCCAAGGAUGUUUUCAUUGAUCAAGAACGAAAG
rnacentral:rRNA from 1 species